rnacentral:rRNA from 1 species
GGGGGCAGGGCGGCAGCUACCCAUGCAGUCGUAAGAGAUGAGAUAGCGCAAGGCAGCUUGCUGCUUUGCUGACGAGUGGCGGACGGGUGAGUAAUGUCUGGGAAACUGCCCGAUGGAGGGGGAUAACUACUGGAAACGGUAGCUAAUACCGCAUAAUGUCGCAAGACCAAAGAGGGGGACCUUCGGGCCUCUUGCCAUCGGAUGUGCCCAGAUGGGAUUAGCUAGUUGGUGAGGUAACGGCUCACCAAGGCGACGAUCCCUAGCUGGUCUGAGAGGAUGACCAGCCACACUGGAACUGAGACACGGUCCAGACUCCUACGGGAGGCAGCAGUGGGGAAUAUUGCACAAUGGGCGCAAGCCUGAUGCAGCCAUGCCGCGUGUAUGAAGAAGGCCUUCGGGUUGUAAAGUACUUUCAGCGGGGAGGAAGGGGUUAAGGUUAAUAACCUUAGCCAUUGACGUUACCCGCAGAAGAAGCACCGGCUAACUCCGUGCCAGCAGCCGCGGUAAUACGGAGGGUGCAAGCGUUAAUCGGAAUUACUGGGCGUAAAGCGCACGCAGGCGGUCUGUCAAGUCGGAUGUGAAAUCCCCGGGCUCAACCUGGGAACUGCAUUCGAAACUGGCAGGCUUGAGUCUCGUAGAGGGGGGUAGAAUUCCAGGUGUAGCGGUGAAAUGCGUAGAGAUCUGGAGGAAUACCGGUGGCGAAGGCGGCCCCCUGGACGAAGACUGACGCUCAGGUGCGAAAGCGUGGGGAGCAAACAGGAUUAGAUACCCUGGUAGUCCACGCCGUAAACGAUGUCUAUUUGGAGGUUGUGCCCUUGAGGCGUGGCUUCCGGAGCUAACGCGUUAAAUAGACCGCCUGGGGAGUACGGCCGCAAGGUUAAAACUCAAAUGAAUUGACGGGGGCCCGCACAAGCGGUGGAGCAUGUGGUUUAAUUCGAUGCAACGCGAAGAACCUUACCUGGUCUUGACAUCCACAGAACUUGGCAGAGAUGCCUUGGUGCCUUCGGGAACUGUGAGACAGGUGCUGCAUGGCUGUCGUCAGCUCGUGUUGUGAAAUGUUGGGUUAAGUCCCGCAACGAGCGCAACCCUUAUCCUUUGUUGCCAGCGGUCCGGCCGGGAACUCAAAGGAGACUGCCGUGAUAACUGGAGGAAGGUGGGGAUAACGUCAAGUCUC